ACGUGAAUGAAGCACAUCGAGGUGUCCUUGGUGGAAAGAACCUUGCAGCCGCUCAGCAAACUCCAGCGCUCUGAGUGACGGCAGAGAAUCGCUCACACCUGGCACAAAGCUUCUGCCUUUUCCCCUGCUGGUCGACUAAAGGCAUCGGGAUGAAGAGCGGACUCCCAAGCCGCUCAGCCACAGCCCAGGAUGUGUGCUGUAAGGAACUUCUCUCCGUCGGGACUCCGUGCCAGGAAGUGGUGCUGAGUUGGCAGCAGCAUGCACCAUCCCAGAGGAGGCUGUAAAGAGCUCAGGCAGUAGGAGAUGACAGAGCAGACUCUCUGCCUGUGUUAGGGGAGCAGCAGAACUUCAACAGCAAGAGGAGCUGUCGGAGCAGUCUUCAUCUAAGGAACUGUAGAGAGACAAAGCAGCUCUGAGGAAAUGCAUCCUUGUCAAAGCCCAUUGGUUUCAGCUGAGGCUUGAAGAGCAGAAGUGAAAACCAGAGUCAGCUGGUGAGGGGGAAAGCAAAGUGGAGCGACUCCAGGUAAGCGGUUCCCAGGGGUUUCUUACCUGCUGACUGUUUGUGUUUCUGGACAGGACCUUUUCUCCCUGGAGAAUGGAAACUGCAUUUUCUUUAACGUGAUGCAUAAGCAGAUUGUUUCUUUCAGCCCUCUAAAGAUGUGGAAUAUUUUAUAUGCAGAAUGGCAUUUGGAGUAUUUGUAGGGAAGAAACCACUUUUGUUUUGCCUUCCAAGCGUAUGUUGAUGUUUUAAUCCAAGCAUAGACUGACAGUGUGGUUGUGUGGUUGUUGCCUUUUGGGGGGGCACACUUAAGAACAGAUAAUCAUCCUGAUGAAGUUUGGCUGUUUACCAAUUUGUACUUAUGAGACUGCUUACAUUUGUAGUGUUUUCCUCCAGAGUCAGUUUGGGGGAGGGUGUGAAUAGAAACAACUUACCUGCAGUUACACAGGAGCAAACUCAGGACUGGAAACUGGAAACCUGGAAGGAGUAUGCAUAAGAGCUUUUUGCCAGUCUGGGACAAGCUGGUGUUUCUGAAAGGCUGCUGUUUCCCUUGAUUUGUAACCAAAAGGUGGGGGGGAUGCUAAAGAAUAAGUAAAUGUUGGCACUACCUAAAACUUUACAGGACAAACUGGCUCCAGCCCAUGGAGGAGUAAGGAGCCCUGCCAUGUGCCGCCAAACUGGCAGUCUGCCCUGACAAAUGACAUGAAAAAGAAACGUUUGGCUUUUCUGAAGCAUAGUCUUAACCUGCAAUGAGCUCUCAGUGUGCUUCCCAAGCACUCCUCGUUAGCAAUGAAUUCAGCCUCCUGUGCCUGUUACAGCAACAGCACUUCUGCUCUCCAGCACGUCUGUGGGGAGCUGCAGCACUGUGCCGAGCUGGAUGUCUUUACAUGCUUCAUAAACUGAUGAUGGUCUCUUUUUGAAGUGAAGAACAGUCCAUAACUUAGCAUGAGUGCAUCUGCUCAGGCAGAAUUUGAUUUGCCUGUAUCCUGUCAGAGGCUGUAGAUAAAUAGUGAUUCAUGGAACUAAA